rnacentral:rRNA from 1 species
AUUGAACGCUGGCGGCAGGCCUAACACAUGCAAGUCGAGCGGAAGAAGGGAGCUUGCUCCUGGUUUCAUCGGCGGACGGGUGAGUAAGGCCUAUGAAUCUGCAUCUGAGUGGGGGAGAACGUCCGGUAACGGGCGCUAAUACCGCUUACGCCCUGCGUGGGAAAGCGGGGGAUCUUCGGACCUCACGCUCUCACAUUAGCCUAGGUCGGAUUAGCUAGUUGGUGGGGUAAAGGCCUACCAAGGCGACGAUCCGUAACUGGUCUGAGAGGAUGAUCAGUCACACUGGAACUGAGACACGGUCCAGACUCCUACGGGAGGCAGCAGUGGGGAAUAUUGGACAAUGGGCGAAAGCCUGAUCCAGCCAUGCCGCGUGUGUGAAGAAGGUCUUCGGAUUGUAAAGCACUUUAAGUGGGGAGGAAGGGAAGUAAGUUAAUACCUUGCUGUUUUGACGUUACCGACAGAAUAAGCACCGGCUAACUCCGUG